GUGUAGCCAAUUAAGCAGACCAUGCUGUCUCUGGGGAGCUGGUGUGCACUGGAUGCUAAGAGUAAGCAGCCUCCUUGGUAGUGAGCGCAGCCUGUGGUUUUAUGAGAUGCUUUAAAGGACCUUGGAAAGGGUC